rnacentral:rRNA from 1 species
CAGUUCGGAUUGUAGUCUGCAACUCGACUACAUGAAGCUGGAAUCGCUAGUAAUCGCGAAUCAGAAUGUCGCGGUGAAUACGUUCCCGGUCUUGUACACACCGCCCGUCACACCAUGGGAGUUGGUAACGCCCGAAGUCAGUGACCUAACCGAGAGGGAGGAGCUGCCGAAGGCGGGACUGAUAACUGGGGUGAAGUCGUAACAAGGUAUC